UACGUAGGGGGCGAGCGUUGUCCGGAUUUAUUGGGCGUAAAGAGCGUGUAGGCGGCCAGGUAGGUCUGCUGUGAAAACUCGAGGCUCAACCUCGAGACGUCGGCGGAAACCAUCUGGCUAGAGUCCGGAAGAGGAGAGUGGAAUCCUGGUGUAGCGGUGAAAUGCGCAGAUAUCAGGAAGAACACCCGUGGCGAAGGCGGCUCUCUGGGACGGUACUGACGCUGAGACGCGAAAGCGUGGGGAGCGAAC
rnacentral:rRNA from 1 species